UACAGAGGGUGCAAACGUUGCUCGGAAUCAUUGGGCGUAAAGCGCACGUAGGCGGCCUAGCAAGUAGGGAGUGAAAGCCCUCGGCUUAACCGAGGAAGUGCUUUCUAAACUACUAGGCUUGAAUACUGGAGAGGGUCGCGGAAUUCCCGGUGUAGAGGUGAAAUUCGUAGAUAUCGGGAGGAACACCGGUGGCGAAGGCGGCAUCCUGGACCGGCAUUGACGCUGAGGCGCGAAAGCCAGGGGAGCAAACGGG
rnacentral:rRNA from 1 species